GACGAACGCUGGCGGCGUGCUUAACACAUGCAAGUCGAACGGAAAGGCCCUGCUUUUGUGGGGUGCUCGAGUGGCGAACGGGUGAGUAACACGUGAGUAACCUGCCCUUGACUUUGGGAUAACUUCAGGAAACUGGGGCUAAUACCGGAUAGGAGCUCCUGCUGCAUGGUGGGGGUUGGAAAGUUUCGGCGGUUGGGGAUGGACUCGCGGCUUAUCAGCUUGUUGGUGGGGUAGUGGCUUACCAGGGCUUUGACGGGUAGCCGGCCUGAGAGGGUGACCGGCCACAUUGGGACUGAGAUACGGCCCAGACUCCUACGGGAGGCAGCAGUGGGGAAUAUUGCACAAUGGGCGGAUGCCUGAUGCAACAACGCCGCGUGCGGGAUGACGGCCUUCGGGUUGUAAACCGCUUUCGCCUGUGACGUAAUCUGAGUGACGGUAAUGGGAAAAGAAGCACCGGCUAACUACUUGCCAGCAGUUCUGGUGAUAUGUAGGGUGCGACCGUUGUCCGGAUUUUUUGGGCGUAAAAGGGCUCGUAGGGGGUGGAUCGCGUCGGAAGUGUAAUCUGGGGGCUUAACCCUGAGCGUGCUUUCGAUACGGGUUGACUUGAGGAAGGUAGGGGAGAAUGGAAUUCCUGGUGGAGCGGUGGAAUGCGCAGAUAUCAGGAGGAACACCAGUGGCGAAGGCGGUUCUCUGGGCCUUUCCUGACGCUGAGGAGCGAAAGCGUGGGGAGCGAACAGGCUUAGAUACCCUGGUAGUCCACGCUGUAAACGGUGGGUACUAGGUGUGGGGUCCAUUCCACGGGUUCCGUGCCGUAGCUAACGCUUUAAGUACCCCGCCUGGGGAGUACGGCCGCAAGGCUAAAACUCAAAGGAAUUGACGGGGCCCCGCACAAGCGGCGGAGCAUGCGGAUUAAUUCGAUGCAACGCGUAGAACCUUACCUGGGUUUGACAUGGAUCGGGAGUGCUCAGAGAUGGGUGUGCCUCUUUUGGGGUCGGUUCACAGGUGGUGCAUGCCUGUCGUCAGCUCGUGUCGUGAGAUGUUGGGUUAAGUCCCGCAACGAGCGCAACCCUUGUUCACUGUUGCCAGCACGUUAUGGUGGGGACUCAGUGGAGACCGCCGGGGUCAACUCGGAGGAAGGUGGGGAUGACGUCAAGUCAUCAUGCCCCUUAUGUCCAGGGCUUCACGCAUGCUACAAUGGCUGGUACAGAGAGUGGCGAGCCUGUGAGGGUGAGCGAAUCUCGGAAAGCCGGUCUCAGUUCGGAUUGGGGUCUGCAACUCGACCUCAUGAAGUCGGAGUCGCUAGUAAUCGCAAAUCAGCAACGCUGCGGUGAAUACGUUCCCGGGGCC
rnacentral:rRNA from 1 species